rnacentral:rRNA from 1 species
GACGAACGCUGGCGGCGUGCCUAAUACAUGCAAGUUGAGCGAUGAAGAUUGGUGCUUGCACCAAUUUGAAGAGCAGCGAACGGGUGAGUAACGCGUGGGGAAUCUGCCCUUGAGCGGGGGACAACAUUUGGAAACGAAUGCUAAUACCGCAUAAUAACUUUAAACAUAAGUUUUAAGUUUGAAAGAUGCAAUUGCAUCACUCAAAGAUGAUCCCGCGUUGUAUUAGCUAGUUGGUGAGGUAAAGGCUCACCAAGGCGAUGAUACAUAGCCGACCUGAGAGGGUGAUCGGCCACAUUGGGACUGAGACACGGCCCAAACUCCUACGGGAGGCAGCAGUAGGGAAUCUUCGGCAAUGGACGAAAGUCUGACCGAGCAACGCCGCGUGAGUGAAGAAGGUUUACGGAUCGUAAAACUCUGUUGGUAGAGAAGAACGUUGGUGAGAGUGGAAAGCUCAUCAAGUGACGGUAACUACCCAGAAAGGGACGGCUAACUACGUG